AGUGAACGCUGGCGGUAGGCCUAACGCAUGCAAGUCGAACGGCAGCACAGUAAGAGCUUGCUCUUACGGGUGGCGAGUGGCGGACGGGUGAGGAAUACAUCGGAAUCUACUUUUUCGUGGGGGAUAACGUAGGGAAACUUACGCUAAUACCGCACACGACCUACGGGUGAAAGCAGGGGAUCUUCGGACCUUGCGCGAUUGAAUGAGCCGAUGUCGGAUUAGCUAGUUGGCGGGGUAAAGGCCCACCAAGGCGACGAUCCGUAGCUGGUCUGAGAGGAUGAUCAGCCACACUGGAACUGAGACACGGUCCAGACUCCUACGGGAGGCAGCAGUGGGGAAUAUUGGACAAUGGGCGCAAGCCUGAUCCAGCCAUACCGCGUGGGUGAAGAAGGCCUUCGGGUUGUAAAGCCCUUUUGUUGGGAAAGAAAAGCAGCAGGUUAAUACCCCGCUGUUCUGACGGUACCCAAAGAAUAAGCACCGGCUAACUUCGUG
rnacentral:rRNA from 1 species